GAUGAACGCUAGCGGCAGGCUUAAUACAUGCAAGGCGAAGGGGCAGCAAUGUCACUGUCGUACGGGUGCGUAACGCGUAUGCAACCUACCUAUCACUGGGGGAUAGCCCGGGGAAACCCGGAUUAAUACCGCAUAACACAGGGGCUCCACAUGGAGAUAUUUGUUAAAGAUUUAUCGGUGGUAGAUGGGCAUGCGUUCGA
rnacentral:rRNA from 1 species